rnacentral:rRNA from 1 species
AGCUCCAAUAGCGUAUAUUAAAGUUGUUGCAGUUAAAAAGCUCGUAGUUGGAUUUCGGGAGGGGUCGGCCGGUCCGCCGCAAGGUGUGCUACUGGUCGGCCCGUCCUUCCUGGCGCAGACUUCGUGUGCUCUUCACUGAGUGUGCGGAGGAUUCGCCACGUUUACUUUGAAAAAAUUAGAGUGUUCAAAGCAGGCUCGCCGGCUUGGAUACAUAAGCAUGGAAUAAUGGAAUAGGACUCUGGUUCUAUUUUGUUGGUUUCUGGACCCGGAGUAAUGAUUAAGAGGGACAGUUGGGGGCAUUCGUAUUUCGUUGUCAGAGGUGAAAUUCUUGGAUUUACGAAAGACGAACUACUGCGAAAGCAUUUGCCAAGAAUGUUUUCA